GGUUGAUCCUGCCAGUAGUCAUAUGCUUGUCUCAAAGACUAAGCCAUGCAUGUCUAAGUAUCUUAUAGAAACUGCGAAUGGCUCAUUAAAACAGUUAUAGUCCACUUGAUAUUGAAACUUACAUGGAUAACCGUAGUAAUUCUAGAGCUAAUACAUGCGUUACGCCGAUGUCAAAGUCGGCAGUAUUUAGAUAACUAAAUCGCUAUUCCUUUCAGGUCUAUUUGAUGAUUCAGUCUAACUUAUCGGAUCGCUGCUUAUGCUGCGAUAGAUCAUUCGAGUUUCUGCCCCAUCA
rnacentral:rRNA from 1 species